rnacentral:lncRNA from 1 species
UCCGGAGUAGAGAAUCGUGGGGGGCAAUCGGGAAGAGCGUGGGAUUUGGAGCUAAUCUGGAAGCUGUAUCUUGCGAACAGAAUGAAGGAGCUUGAUUUGCGAACGGGAUUAGCUGCGGAUGUUUGGGAGAUGGAGCUAAUCCGGAUGUUGUAUGGUUGCUGGUUCUCAUUCGGAAGGGAAGUUGAUGCCAUUUCAUCGCGGAGGAGAUGCGAAAGAAAGCCUUGGACGCAGGAGAUCUCUUGUGGAUGGAGUUAGAUCACGGAAGAAGAGGGAACUCUGUUUCGUGGAUCCGAAUGGAAUGCAUGCGGGAUGAGAGCUGCGGAGGACGUGGACGAUGCGGGAUGGUGUUCACGGCUGAGAGAAGAUGCCGAAGAAUCUCUGCUGUGGGAGACUGAUAGAGUUGAUCCGGAA